CGCUGAGCUGCCGAUCCAGCACUGACUCACAUGUGAACCUCAUCCACAUCUCAUCUACCGGAGCACUUUGCAACCAGAAAGUCUGACAACACCCCUGUGAGUGAUCACAAGACGAUGUGCAGCAUAUUCAAUACUUAUCUUUUUCUUCUGUUGGUUGAAAUUGUCAAUGAUGACACCAAUGAAGAGGUUCAGUGUGAAGAAAGACCCGAAGAUGAUGAAAAUCACAAAGUACAGGUACAUGUAUAAAUUACAUUCCCAUUCAGGCUGCUCCUCACACUGCACAGGGAAAAGGGAAGACAUGAAAAUGAC
rnacentral:lncRNA from 1 species